CAGGGAAUCUUGCGCAAUGGGCGAAAGCCUGACGCAGCGACACCGCGUGGGGGAAGAAGGCCUCAGGGUUGUAAACCCCUUUUCUGGGGGAAGAGAUAGGACGGUACCUCAGGAAUAAGCAUCGGCUAACUACGUGCCAGCAGCCGCGGUAAUACGUAGGAUGCAAGCGUUGUCCGGAUUUACUGGGCGUAAAGGGUGUGUAGGCGGCAUGUUAAGUCUCAUGUGAAAUCUCCCGGCUCAACUGGGAGGGGUCAUGGGAAACUGGCAAGCUGGAGGGCAGCAGAGGAAAGCGGAAUUCCGGGAGUAGUGGUGGAAUGCGUAGAUACCCGGAGGAACACCAGAGGCGAAGGCGGCUUUCUGGGCUGUGCCUGACGCUGAGACACGAAAGCGUGGGGAGCAAACCGGAUUAGAUACCCCCGUAGUCC
rnacentral:rRNA from 1 species